rnacentral:piRNA from 1 species
UAUGACGUGUUACAUAGAUUAGAACUGA